GCGCUCCCGGAGCUGCAAACCCCGGCCUUCUUCUUCCUCCCUUCCUUUCUUUUUCUUUUUUUUUCCUUUUUUAAUCUUUCUUUCCUAGUUUCUUUCUCCCUCUUCUUCUGCCCGCUCUCCUCUUUAUUUUGUCUUUAUGACUGUUUCUGCAAGUUUGUUUUAAAAGUUCACGGGCAUGCUUUCUUUUCUUUUAGACCAGGAGACCGUGAUCUCACCCUGACGGUAAGAUCAAAAGUCUCCGCUCGCCCCAGCCUGCGGGCUUGGGCUCGGUCCAGACGCCUCCUUGAAUGCAGAUGUGCCGCCGCCGGCCUCCAGGGCUAUAAAGCCGCCUCCGGCGCCGUCGCGCGCUGGAGCGCUCGGAGUUGCGGGGUGCGGACCCCGGGCUGUUGCGGGGAGUCAGAACCGGGCUGUGGCUGGGCUCCGGGGCUGGCCGUGUGUGGCGGACUCGGGGCAGGGGCGCGGCGUGCAGUGUGUGCCUGCAGCCGCAGAGGCCGGAGCGACUGCCCCUCCAGGCCCGGAGACGCGGCCGUGGGGCGUGAAACGCUUCUUGCGAACGAGGAAACGGCCUCACCUGCCAGCCAAGAAAAAUGAGACUUGAAAAUGGGCCAGAGUCAUCCUCCAACGGUGAAAUUUGUCCAGGAGUCACUCCCCUCUCAAAUGUCCAGAAAUGCAAGCUGCUCUCUUUCUGGAGGAUGGCCCUAUCUGGGGCAAGCUGAGAGUCAAGAAGGGAGACAGUAGAGGGGAGAAGGUAGAGCACUGACCGUCCAGCCCAGCACCCAAUCCUGGCUCAGCGGGACCCAGCACAAAGAAUGAAGGAGCACGUGGUGCACGAAAGAAUGUGGAGUGCGACGAGUCCUUUCCUCUUAAGAGAGAAGUCCUGGUCAGCAGCACAGAAAGGUCACGCACACAGUGGGUCUGCUCUGGGUGUGCACAUUGCAGGUGAAGGCAAGCUCUGACUAUGGAGUGCAGGGCCUGGGCUCCGGGUCCAUCACUCCCCAGUGACCUUGAGAGAUUGCCCUGGCUCUUUGAGCCUCAACUCUUUCAUCUCUAAAAUGGGGCAGUUCUGUUCAUCUUAAGUACUGAGUAGGGACUGGGAGGAAAACUUCAAUCAAAGUUGGAGAUGCCCUUUGAAGCCUUCAGGUCUUUAUGCUACAUGCUGGGAGCUUUCAAGGUCAGAAUAGGGUUUGAAAGAUGAAGAGCAGCAUUACUGGCUGUGUGCCCAUGGGCAAGUCACAGUAGAGCCCACUUCGCAGGUACCAGUGAGGCCUACACAAGAUGAAGUGUGUUGGUGCUUUGGUGAAGAGCUUGGCACAUAGUAGUUGUCCAAUAAAUGGUGACCCCUCCUGCA
rnacentral:lncRNA from 1 species